rnacentral:rRNA from 1 species
AGAGUUUGAUCCUGGCUCAGGAUGAACGCUGGCGGCGUGCCUAAUACAUGCAAGUCGAGCGAACGGACGAGAAGCUUGCUUCUCUGAUGUUAGCGGCGGACGGGUGAGUAACACGUGGAUAACCUACCUAUAAGACUGGGAUAACUUCGGGAAACCGGAGCUAAUACCGGAUAAUAUUUUGAACCGCAUGGUUCAAAAGUGAAAGACGGUCUUGCUGUCACUUAUAGAUGGAUCCGCGCUGCAUUAGCUAGUUGGUAAGGUAACGGCUUACCAAGGCAACGAUGCAUAGCCGACCUGAGAGGGUGAUCGGCCACACUGGAACUGAGACACGGUCCAGACUCCUACGGGAGGCAGCAGUAGGGAAUCUUCCGCAAUGGGCGAAAGCCUGACGGAGCAACGCCGCGUGAGUGAUGAAGGUCUUCGGAUCGUAAAACUCUGUUAUUAGGGAAGAACAUAUGUGUAAGUAACUGUGCACAUCUUGACGGUACCUAAUCAGAAAGCCACGGCUAACUACGUGCCAGCAGCCGCGGUAAUACGUAGGUGGCAAGCGUUAUCCGGAAUUAUUGGGCGUAAAGCGCGCGUAGGCGGUUUUUUAAGUCUGAUGUGAAAGCCCACGGCUCAACCGUGGAGGGUCAUUGGAAACUGGAAAACUUGAGUGCAGAAGAGGAAAGUGGAAUUCCAUGUGUAGCGGUGAAAUGCGCAGAGAUAUGGAGGAACACCAGUGGCGAAGGCGACUUUCUGGUCUGUAACUGACGCUGAUGUGCGAAAGCGUGGGGAUCAAACAGGAUUAGAUACCCUGGUAGUCCACGCCGUAAACGAUGAGUGCUAAGUGUUAGGGGGUUUCCGCCCCUUAGUGCUGCAGCUAACGCAUUAAGCACUCCGCCUGGGGAGUACGACCGCAAGGUUGAAACUCAAAGGAAUUGACGGGGACCCGCACAAGCGGUGGAGCAUGUGGUUUAAUUCGAAGCAACGCGAAGAACCUUACCAAAUCUUGACAUCCUUUGACAACUCUAGAGAUAGAGCCUUCCCCUUCGGGGGACAAAGUGACAGGUGGUGCAUGGUUGUCGUCAGCUCGUGUCGUGAGAUGUUGGGUUAAGUCCCGCAACGAGCGCAACCCUUAAGCUUAGUUGCCAUCAUUAAGUUGGGCACUCUAAGUUGACUGCCGGUGACAAACCGGAGGAAGGUGGGGAUGACGUCAAAUCAUCAUGCCCCUUAUGAUUUGGGCUACACACGUGCUACAAUGGACAAUACAAAGGGCAGCGAAACCGCGAGGUCAAGCAAAUCCCAUAAAGUUGUUCUCAGUUCGGAUUGUAGUCUGCAACUCGACUACAUGAAGCUGGAAUCGCUAGUAAUCGUAGAUCAGCAUGCUACGGUGAAUACGUUCCCGGGUCUUGUACACACCGCCCGUCACACCACGAGAGUUUGUAACACCCGAAGCCGGUGGAGUAACCUUUUAGGAGCUAGCCGUCGAAGG